AGAGCCCUCUGAGGUCUCAUCACUGGUAGCAUUCCUCUGCCUUCCUGCUGCUUCAUAUAUCAAUGGCCAGGUAAUUUGUGUAGAUGGAGGAUUUACAGUCAAGGGUUGUUAACUGAAGCAUGAUUGUCUUUAAGCCACUGCUUCAGUUAGUUUCUAUGUGGACUAGUUCGAAAAUAUUCUGUUUAAUCUGGUAUUCAUAUGUUUGUAGGAUGUAAUAUAUCUUCUAUGCCAUUUU
rnacentral:misc_RNA from 1 species